GGCCUUGACAUACUAAGAACUUUCCAGAGAUGGAUUGGUGCCUUCGGGAACUUAGAUACAGGUGCUGCAUGGCUGUCGUCAGCUCGUGUCGUGAGAUGUUGGGUUAAGUCCCGNAACGAGCGCAACCCUUUUCCUAUUUGCCAGCGGGUCAUGCCGGGAACUUUAAGGAUACUGCCAGUGACAAACUGGAGGAAGGCGGGGACGACGUCAAGUCAUCAUGGCCCUUACGGCCAGGGCUACACACGUGCUACAAUGGUCGGUACAAAGGGUUGCUACCUCGCGAGAGGAUGCUAAUCUCAAAAAAGCCGAUCGUAGUCCGGAUCGCAGUCUGCAACUCGACUGCGUGAAGUCGGAAUCGCUAGUAAUCGCGGAUCAGAAUGCCGCGGUGAAUACGUUCCCGGGCCUUGUACACACCGCCCGUCACACCAUGGGAGUUUGUUGCACCAGAAGUAGGUAGUCUAACCGCAAGGAGGACGCUUACCACGGUGUGGCCGAUGACUGGGGUGAAGUCGUAACAAGGUAGGCGUAGAUGA
rnacentral:rRNA from 1 species